rnacentral:piRNA from 1 species
UAUUAGAAAGGAAGGAUUGGCUACA